UUACCACAAACAUUGCAUUCCAUAACUGAGGAUGGAGAAGGCAACGGAGCCAAUGUACCCCCGCAGUUCUCUCGAUUACACAUGUAUCUAAGGAAGAAAUACGCGUGAGGAAAAUCUUGAUCUCUCUCCUCCACCUCGCCAUUUACAUUUACUUCAUCAUCCAUGUCUUCCUCCAUAUCUUCAUCCUCUUCCUCUUCUUCUUCACUUUCCUCACCCUCUUUAUCCAUAGCAUCAUCCUCACCAUCAGACCAAUUAGCCUCAACCACACACCGAUCACAAUUGCAAGUAAAACCAUAAUCCUCCUUCAACCUUUGCUGCCUUUCCG
rnacentral:misc_RNA from 1 species